AGAGUUUGAUCCUGGCUCAGGAUGAACGCUGGCGGCGUGCUUAACACAUGCAAGUCGAACGAAGCGCUUGGAUGGAAUUCUUCGGAAGGAAGCUCAAGUGACUGAGUGGCGGACGGGUGAGUAACGCGUGGGUAACCUGCCUCAUACAGGGGGAUAACAGUUAGAAAUGACUGCUAAUACCGCAUAAGCACACGUGAUCGCAUGAUCGAGUGUGAAAAACUCCGGUGGUAUGAGAUGGACCCGCGUCUGAUUAGCUAGUUGGUGGGGUAAUGGCCCACCAAGGCGACGAUCAGUAGCCGGCCUGAGAGGGUGAACGGCCACAUUGGGACUGAGACACGGCCCAAACUCCUACGGGAGGCAGCAGUGGGGAAUAUUGCACAAUGGGGGAAACCCUGAUGCAGCGACGCCGCGUGAAGGAUGAAGUAUUUCGGUAUGUAAACUUCUAUCAGCAGGGAAGAAAAUGACGGUACCUGACUAAGAAGCCCCGGCUAACUACGUGCCAGCAGCCGCGGUAAUACGUAGGGGGCAAGCGUUAUCCGGAUUUACUGGGUGUAAAGGGAGCGUAGACGGCAGUGCAAGUCUGAAGUGAAAGCCCGGGGCUCAACCCCGGGACUGCUUUGGAAACUGUGCAGCUAGAGUGUCGGAGAGGCAAGCGGAAUUCCUAGUGUAGCGGUGAAAUGCGUAGAUAUUAGGAGGAACACCAGUGGCGAAGGCGGCUUGCUGGACGAUGACUGACGUUGAGGCUCGAAAGCGUGGGGAGCAAACAGGAUUAGAUACCCUGGUAGUCCACGCC
rnacentral:rRNA from 1 species